UGGGGAAUUUUGGACAAUGGGCGCAAGCCUGAUCCAGCAAUGCCGCGUGCAGGAUGAAGGCCUUCGGGUUGUAAACUGCUUUUGUACGGAACGAAACGGUCCCUUCUAAUACGGGGGGCUAAUGACGGUACCGUAAGAAUAAGCACCGGCUAACUACGUGCCAGCAGCCGCGGUAAUACGUAGGGUGCGAGCGUUAAUCGGAAUUACUGGGCGUAAAGCGUGCGCAGGCGGUUAUAUAAGACAGAUGUGAAAUCCCCGGGCUCAACCUGGGACCUGCAUUUGUGACUGUAUAGCUAGAGUACGGUAGAGGGGGAUGGAAUUCCGCGUGUAGCAGUGAAAUGCGUAGAUAUGCGGAGGAACACCGAUGGCGAAGGCAAUCCCCUGGACCUGUACUGACGCUCAUGCACGAAAGCGUGGGGAGCAAACAGG
rnacentral:rRNA from 1 species